ACCUACGGGGGGCAGCAGUAGGGAAUUUUCGUCAAUGGGCGCAAGCCUGAACGAGCAAUGCCGCGUGAACGAGGAAGGUCUUCGGAUCGUAAAGUUCUGUUGAAGGGGAAAAAGAGCGGAGAGAGGAAAUGGUCUCCGAUUGAUAUUACCCUUCGAGGAAGUCACGGCUAACUACGUGCCAGCAGCCGCGGUAAUACGUAGGUGGCGAGCGUUAUCCGGACUGAUUGGGCGUAAAGGGUGCGUAGGCGGCCGCCUAAGUCUGGAGUGAAAGGUACCGGCUCAACCGGUACAGGCUCUGGAAACUG
rnacentral:rRNA from 1 species